rnacentral:rRNA from 1 species
CACCGCCCGUCACACCAUGGGAGUUGAUUGCUCCAGAAGUGGCCGAUCCAACCCGCAAGGGAGGUAGGUCCCCAAGGAGUGAUCGAUGACUGGGGGUG